CGAACGGCUGGAGUCGAAUGGCCCCGCCCCCGGAGCCACCUCCCGCCUCCGAGCUGCAGAGCUCCGCCCCUCUGCAGAAUCACCUCAGCGGGGCGGGGUCUCCUCACCUCUGGCGGCGGGGACUCCGUGGAGACCCCAGGCUGUGGCUCCCCGCCCCCUCCUCAACUUUUCGCUAGAGACUUUCGAACACUCUUCCCAUUCGCUUCUCUGUGUUGUAUGGAAACGUGAAAGGUUCAAACAACAGAAGUGCACCGAGAAACUGGCUGCUACACCUUGAACUCUUUCCCCCCCUGCCAUGACGCCCUGCCUUGGAGCCAGCCAACUCUGGACUGAAACCUCUACAAACGGAUCUCCCUAUGCAGUUCAGGCUGACCUUGAGCUCACUCUGUAGCCUAGCCCGGUUGCUCAGCCUCCAAGUGCUGGGAUUACAGAUGAACCUUAGGAGUGAUUUCUCUAGAUCUAUAAGAUUCCACUGCCCUGCAGAUUUGUGUCUUCUGAACAAUGCACAGCUAUGGUGAAGCUUUGUGACCAGCUUCACCUAGCAAAAUGUUUACCCGUGACGUAGCGUACGUAGUCCCUUUUAUGACUGAAUGAUAUCCCACUGCGUGAACAUAGCAUACUUUGUCAAUGACCAGUUCAUGGCUCCUGGGUUAUUUCCACCCUUUUGCUACUAUGAAUAAUAUUGUUGUGAGCCUCGUGUACAUGUUUUUAUAGAGACAUGAGUUUUCAUUUCCCCUGGGUCCAUGAACUGAAGUUUCUAUGAAAAAGUUAAUGAUAAUUUUCCAAUUAGUAAGCUUUAUUCCAAUUAGUGAACAGUUAAUGUGGGGGAAAGGAGUUGGAGGAGAAGUUGGUGCAGGUUACACACAAGGUGGAAAGGAAUUUAAGAGCUUAGGCCUGCAUGGUUUCAAAUCCUGUGGGAUGUUUGCCUUAGGGAAUUUAUUUAAUUUAUUUAACUCUGGGUUUCUGUUUUUUUGACUAUAAAAUGUUUUUUUUUUUUUUUUUUUUUUUGCCUUUUUCGUUUUUAUCGGUACCAGGGAUCGAACUCACGACUGCCUGCUUAUAAGGCAGGUGCUUAUGCCGCUGAGCUAAAUCCCCAGCCCCUUGACUAUAAAAUGUAGAAAAAAUAUAAUAACAGUUACCUUGUAAGACUUGUGAGGAUUAAAUGAGAUAGCUGUAAACUCAGUGUCAUGUACAUUGUCAACACUUAUUGUUAGUAAUUAUUUAUUAAUAAUAUAUACUAUGGCAUUUUUAUAGUAAUCAUGCAUUGAUUUUGCAAUUUUAAAAACAAAUUUAAGGGAUGGGGAAUAUAGUUCAGUUAUAGAGUGCUUACCCAGUGUGCACAAGGCCCCAGGUUCAAUCUCCUGUACCAUCAAAAGAAAAAAAAUUUAAAACGUAUGAAGUCAGCCUUAAUUUUGUAUGCUUACUAAUUUAAACACAUUCUUAUAUUAUCAAAUCAUUCUGUAAGCUGGAAAAAGUGAUUUAAUCCUGCUUCCUCGCUGUCUUAGACUAAAUGAGGAAAUGGAGGUUGCUUACUUAAGGUCUGAAUUAUGCUUUAUUAUUUUCCACUUUACAAAUUAGGAGGGAGUAGGCACACCCAAGUUUAUAGCGGCACAGUCUGUGAUACCCGAAUCUUGGAAACAGCACAAAUGCCCAUCAAUCAAUGAAUGGAUGCAGAUGUGGUGUUUUAUACAAUGGAGUACUACUCUUCCAUAAAGAAGGAUAAACUUGAAACAUUUCUAGGUAAAUACAUGCACUUUGAGACCAUACUCUUAAGUACAAUAAAUCAGAUAUACAUAUAAAAAAUCACAAAGUAGUAAUAACAUUGGUAAUACCAUUCUUACCAAAAGUGAUCCUAAAACAAAUGCAGAUGGUCCCCAACUUAUCAUGGCUUGACUUAUGAGUCUCUUACUACCAUGGUGAGAGAGCAGUAUGUGUCCAGGAGAACCAACACUUUGAAUGUGGAUCUUCUCCUGGGCUAGCUGUAUGUGGUAUGAUAUUCUUUUGUGGUCUGGGCCAGCAGCAGCAAGCCAUGGCUCCCAGUCAGCCAUACACUCCUGAAGGUGAACAACAAAUACUGUACUGUACAUUGUUAUAAAGUAGGGUAUGUGUGUUAAACAUUUGUUUGUGAUGAGUUUAUGAAGAUAUAAUACCAUCGUGUAAGUCAAGGAGCAUUUGGCCCAGCAAUAUUAGGUUUUGUAGCCUAUAAAAGGUUACUUUAAUUUUCCCACUGAUAAUUUAGAUCUUUGAAGCAAAAUAAUUUUGGGGGGAGUUUUUUUUUUUGCAUGAGGAAUCGAACUCGGGACCUUGCACUUAUCAGGCAGGCACUUAUGCCACUGAGCUAUAUCUGCAGCCUGAAGCAAAACUAUUUUAAAUAAAUUUCUUUUGGGGGGCUGGGGAUUUAGCUCAGUGGCAUAAGCGCCUGCCUUGCAAGCAGGCAGUCAUGAGUUCAAUCCCUGGUACUGAUAAAAAUUUUUUUAAAAAUUUCUUUUUGGCCUUUGAAUCUUUUUGCUUUAGAACAAAACAAACAAAGAAUCUGUUAAUAGUUAGCAUCUUGCCAAAGAUCUUGUCUCAUCUUCGUACAGCUGACAUGGCUGUCCAUUUUAAUUGACUGCCUGUAGAAUUAGUAAUUUUAUGAUUUUGCUGGUGACUCCAAUCUUAAGCAAUGAUAUCCUUCUAAUAAGGCUUAUUGUAUUUAUAGGAUUUAAUGAGAAAUUAGAUGUUUUUCCUUUUUAAAAAAAAUUUUUUGGUACUACAAUGUCACACUUGCCAGGCACUAUGCAACUGAGCUACAUCCUGGCCCUGAGAAAUUAGAUUUUUAAGAAGAAACAAAAGUAUUAAACCUGUUAAAAUGUACUCUUGAAGCCAUUUCUACAUGUUUCCUCUAGUUGUGUUCAUAUUUCUAGUACAGAAUGACAGACUUGUAAGGUCCUUCCCCUGGCCGCCCUCUUAAGUCCCUUUUGGACUCAACAAAAGGCCACUUACCAGGACUCCCAAACAGAAUACAGGGCCAUUUUCCAGACUUCAGGAGAUCCAUUGUCUUGUAACUAUGAACUUGUAAGUACCUACAAAGUAACAAGAACUGUACUUAAGACUGACUACCUUUGCUUGUGUGUGUAACAGCUUUAUUAAGUUACAGUUUGUGCACCACACAAUUCAUCCACUUAAAGUAUAUGAUUCAGUUGCUUUUUUGUCUAUUCAUAGAAUUGUGCAACCACAGUGUCAAAAUAUUUUCAUCCCAAACAGAAACCUCAUUGCUAUUAGUAAUCACUCCCUUUUUCUCCCCUAUCCAUGGCAACCAGAAAUCUAUUUUGUCUCUGAAUUUGCCUGAUCUGGACAUUUCCUGUAAGUGGCAUCAAAUGAUAGGUGAUCUUUCGCGCUGAGCUUCACAUAGCACAGUGUUUAUAGCAUUCAUUUAUGUAUUCAUAUUGUAGCAUGUAUCUGCUACUUCUUACCUUUUAUGACUGAAGGAAGUUCCAUCGCAUGGGUGUACCACAUUUGUUUGUCCUUAAUCAGACCAGAAUUAUUCUAUAGAGAGAACUGUGACCUGAAUUUGGAAAUCUCAAAGACCAUGUGUUUUUCAACAGCUUUCAAAAACAAGCUAGCUAGCAUUCUUCUGUCUAGAAAGAAAAAGAGUCUGUUUAUCAAAUUUCCAAAUUCUAUAGCCUCUCAUGGAACAAUUGGCAAUCAGCUUUAGGGUUAGAGAGAGGAAGGCACAGUGGUAUAAAUUAAGGAGUGUUACAAUUCAUCCCCCUUUGAUCAUCAGUUUGGGCUGCGGUAACAAAAUACCAGAAGCUAGGAAGUCCAACAUGUUUAAAGGCGCAGGUGGACUUGGUUCCUGGGCUGUCUUCCUGGUUUGUCCAUGCCUGCCUUCUCUCACAUUCCCAUGAAUGGUGGUAAGGGGUGAGCUCUGGUCUCUCUUUUUUCUUCUUAUAAGGACACGAAUCCCAUCAGCAGAGCCUACCUUUGUGACCACAUUUAAACCCAAUUUGGACAAGAGCUAAGGCCCCACCUCCAAAUACUUCUCACAUUGGGAGCCAGAGCUUCUCAGGACACGCUAUUCAGUCCAGAAUACUUCCAUAUCACAGGAAAUUCUUUAUUUUACUUGUAACAGCAUCACUGGUCACAGCAAAUAGAAGUUGCCUUAGUUACUUUCUCCUUGCUGAGACACAGUACCCGACUCCCACAAUUGAAAGGCGGGAAGUCUUAUUUUUGAAAGUUAAUUUUAUUGGUACACUUUUGAUAUACAUAAUGAUCACAUUCAUCAUAGGGAAUUUAUUCCCAUACAUACUUAUCUUGAUUCUUCUUUUUUUCCCCCAUUCUCCUCCCAGAAAGGUUUAUUUUGGCUCACAGUUUGUAGAGGUUUCAGUUGAUAAUUUGCUGGCUUCAAGGAAGGGUAGCAUGGCAGAGGGGCAGCGGGGAGGAGAGACAGCACAUGGCAUGGCAGCUGGACACAGAGUGAUCAAGGGAGAAGGAGGGAUGGGUAUACCUUCCAGGCCACGCCCACCCUUUCCCCCAAAACACCCCCAACCUUACACCUAAUUCCAGACUCUUCAGUGGACCAAUCCACUGAUGAAUAUCACACACAGGAUCCAGUGGCUUUCCCAAAGCCCCUCCUGUGAGUGCAGGAGGUUUUGGAGGGACAUCUAACAUCAUAGAAGUUCAUAUAAAUCAGUGGAUUUUUAGCAUGGGCACCCGUAACUUAGUGUGAAUUGGUUAAUCACGCUUUCUUUCUAACCCUUGGUAGAUGGUAGAUAACUUAUGGCUGGUUGAAACUAAGGCGUUCUGAUAGAAAAGGAAGUCCUUAAAAAGGAUGAGAAAGGAGUGAUUUUAGAGUCUUAGAUCAUUUAGAACACAUUACAUGCGUUAUACUUUGGAGGCAUGUCCUUGCAUAGCAACUCCACAAGAUAAGCACUGUGUAUUGUUGUGUUUUGGUUUGUUUUGUUUUACUUGGAAAGAAAGGAAAAAGCUUCAAAAAGUUAACUGUUACCAAAGGCUAUUUAACAGACUGCAGGCAGAAAGCUGGGAUUUUAAACCAAAUCUAUGUCAUUCCACAGAAUCAGAGGGGUUCCGUAUUGUUUGUUUUUCCUAUUCCGAACUGAAAGCAGACGCUGAGUGAGACCAGGACUAGGAAGGGGAAAUGGAGAGAGCUGGAGAGGGUGUCAAGGCCAAACUCUGCCUUCUCUACAAUUCUGUCACCACCGCUAGCCGGCUCUGCCCCUGCCCCAGACGGCUCAGCUGUGCAGACGUGCUAAUGAGUCCCUAAAUGCUUCCUGGCUUAGUGCAACUACUGUGUGAGAGGGUGAGGGCUCCGGCUGCUGCUGCUGCCCAGGCCACACACCCUCCAGCAAAACUUCCUUAUUUGGAAACAUCUUUUCCAUCCUAUUUGGGCGGAAGGACUACAAUCUCACAUUUAAGAAAAACAAAAUGCUUUGCCCUCCAUCAGACGGGGCACUUAAGAAUACUGAAAACAGAGGAACACCUAAAAGAUGGGGUGCAUUGCUAACUUUACUCAAGGGAAAGGUAGUGGAGGCAGGGUGUGCUUCAUCGGAGUUGAUCGAACUAGCAGGAAUCCCUUUUUCUUUAACUCCAGAACAACCUGAAUUUGGAAAUCUCAAGAAGCAUGUGUUUUUCAACAGUCUUAAAAAUGAGCUGGGCAUGGUGGCACAUACAUGUAAUUCCAGUACCCAGGUGGCAGAGGCAGAAGGAUCACCACAAGUUCAAGGCCAGGCUGAACUAAAUAGUAAGACCUUGUCUCAAAAAACAGAAGCAAAAAAUAAAAAUAAGAUUGUUAGCUGCACGUGGUGGUACACACAGCACUCCGGAGGCUGAGGCAGGAGGCUUGCAGCGAGUUCAAACCCAGCCUGGGCUACGCAUUGAUUCAAGGCCAGGCUAGACUAUAUAGUGAGACCCUGCUCAAAAAAACAAAAAUGAAACAAACAAACCAAAAAUUAGCAUUCUUCUGUCUAGAAAGACAAAAGAAUGCUCUGCUUGUGGUAGUAUACACCUGUGAUACCAGCACCCUGCGAUGCUGAGGCAGGAGGAUGGCAAGUUUAAGGCCCAGCCAGGGUAACAUAGUGACUUAAAGAGAAUCUAUUUAAAAAUUAAAAAUUAAAAAAGAACUGGUAAUCUCGCACAAUACAAAGGCCCUGAUUUCAAUCGCCAGUACUACAAAUGAACAAGGAAAAACAGAAGCUGUUUUAGUUAGCAAAAAGCUUUGAACCACUGUACUGUAAUAUAAAAUUCAGCACCUUUUUGCUGGAGUUAAGAACAUAUACUGUUUUAAAAUUAUUUACACUGCUGAAGAUGGGAGAGGCCUGAGUAUCAAGGGAAUGUUCGUUUGCGGAUAUAAUUUAGCAUUUAACGCUUUGAGCAGGAGGUAUUAGAAAAGAUAGUUUCUGAAAAGAUAGGACUAAGAAAGUAUUUGCAGGGUGGUUCAGUGGGGUCACCCUAAGUGUCCACUCCUGGAAGCUGCCCGAGGAGCAGCUUGUUAGAUAGACAGAAAGUGUAGAUUUAAGUCAAGUCUGAACUCUAGACUAACUCGCUUGAUGAUCUUGGGCAAACGACUUCUCUAAUCUUGGGCCUCAGUCUGCUCCUUUCCGAGAGGAGCUGGCUAGAGGGUCCCCACAGCCUGUCCAGAACUGGAGUUGUUUUAUGAUUCCCAGGGCUGUGGGAGGGGCGGGCCUGGGGUAGUGUGUGCCGCAGAGGUCAUGGGUUUCUAGUGCCCUCCAGACUCACCCCUGAUUUCCUGUCCUGGGGUGCCCUCCUUGCCCGUCUGGAGCCUCGGGUCUCUGUUACUUCCUGGCUUCCUGGAGCAACUUCCUGCAGACCCAUUGGAGUGCGAAGCAUAAAAAGCCCAAUUGCUUCUGGGGAGCUUAUCAAGGCCCACCUGCACUGAGUUCGAUCACCACCCAGCCAUCUGGUCAUGAUGGAUUAAGUCAGAUAGAAUAAGCCUCGUUGGUAUUUGCUAAAAUCUAAACACACUCACAAAAUAAGAUAACCAGAAUCUACUUGCUUCCCCCGAAAGGUCCUGAUGUCUGCAUUCUUCAUUUAGGUAGGAGGACAACGUUGAUUGAAGGGGUUUCCUGUGCCCUUCUGAUUGCAAAAACAAGUUGGGUUGGGCAGCCCUCUCUGAUCUGGGAGACCCAGGGAAAUUGUGCGAUCUUGCCAGGCAUAGUGCAAGAUGGAGAUUUUGUUUUCCUCGCAUUAAUCCGCAGCUAAUGCCAGUGAACAUUAUCCUUGUUUAAUUACAUUCACUAACCAACUGACACAACUUCCCCUGGGAAGAAGCUUAUCCGACUCUGACUCACGCUCUGCAGCAUGUUGGAUUUGAGGAAAUGGAUAAUAUACACCCCGCUGGCUUUGGAAUUUUAAACAGAAACCCACAUGCUGCCGAGGCUCCGGCUUACUCCCAAAUAUGGGAGAAUGUGUGCCCUGGCCACAGUUGCAGGAGGCACGCUCAGUGGGACAAGAGGCAAAACCCACAGGGCGCCUGAGUGCCAGGCGGGGGAUGCCAGAGCCAGCAGCCACUUAAAGGAGAAGGAACAACCUGAAGAAAGGGAGGGAGGACCGAGUGCCUCCCCUGGAGUUCUCUGGGGGAUUCGUGGACGUGAGUCUUGCUGAGAGCAGCGUGCAUUCCCAGCAUCUGGACCUGAGAAGAGUCUGCAUGUCAGAGCAGGAGAUGAAAUGACUCCAACCUACACCAAGCUGCUUAGGUCACUUUGGUCCCCGUCAUGGUGAGAAACCCUUUGGUGACCAGCUGGCCUGGGACCAAUUGGGGCCACUGCUCCAGCAUUUGAGGGAAGGGUCGUGGGGACAGUGUCCCAGAGCAGGCGGAGAUGAAUCCUCAGCUGGAAGCCAAAAUGAAGACACAAGGUCCCCUUCAGCUCCAUCCUGCCCAUGCGGAGCCCCUCCUUCCUGCCAGCAAGCUCCGAAUGCCCUUUAACCUCUUUCCACUACGGCUGUCCUUGUGCUUCAUGUUGAAAAAUCUUCACUUUUUAAAAAAUUGUAUUUUUUAAAGCCAGGCAUGGUGGUGCACGCCUGUAAUCCCAGCACUCGGGAGGCUGAGGCAGGAGGAUCAUUGUGAGUUUGAGACCACCCUAUACUACAAAGUGAGCUCAAGGCCAGCCUGAACUGCAUAGCAAGACAGUCUCAAAAAGAUAAAGUAAAGUAAAAUAAAAUAAUUGUAUUGUCUGAUUUAUUAACUAUUUUGUGGUAUUAGGCACUGAACAUAGGUCAUUGCACCAAACUAUUUUCCCAGCCCUCCCUGCCACGCCACCCCACCUCACCCCACCCCACUUGGAGCCAGAGCCUCCCUAAGUGCUAAAUCGCCCAGGCUGGAUUCGAACUUGCAAUUCUUCUGUCUCAGUCUCCCAGCACUGGAGACUAUAGGUGUGCAUUACUAUGCCCGGCUUACUGUUUUAUCUUUAAAAUGAUAUGUGCUCAAUGAAAGUCAAACAAGGUAGAAAUAGAGCAUUAACAGCUCCCAUUUGGAGUAUUUUCUUUGCAUAAAACAUUGUUCUAAAGUACAGAAUGCACAUCAGUUUACAUAAACUUCCUAAAAGCCCAUGGAGUAAGUACACUAUCAUCCACCCCGUUUACAAGUAAAAAAACUAAAACUCACACAGAUGAAAUAACCUGCCUAAAGUCACACAGCAAGGACAUGGCAAAGCUGAGAUUUGAACCCAAGUGCCUCAGCGUUGGGCUAAUCCUGCUUUAAAGACAGGAGAGCAAUCAACCCCACCCCACCACACAAAGAUGAUCACUAUUAAUGUGUUCCAGACUGCUCUUUAUACACAUGCAUGUGGUAUUUGCCUUACCCUGAUCUCAGUAGAAUAGAAUCUAGGGUUGCAUCUGAGAAGGAAUCACCAAUUAACUAUACCAGCUUUCUUUAGAAACUCAACUGGAGCCUGCAAUUGGCCAGGUCCUGCCUCCGUCUUGCUGGAUGCUUUGUGGCAAGCGUCUCCUAAGCGCUCAGCAAGUGCCCUUCGGUGAUGUCCGGGCCGGCUUGUGUAUACCCUUGGCUUGUGCACCCAUGUAGAUAUCUAACAGCUGUUCCUUCCCCUCCAGAUGGGGCCAGUGUGGGGUCAUAGCCAAAUAAAGAACCACCUGCCUCAUCACUCUGGAGAGCAAAA